rnacentral:rRNA from 1 species
GACGAACGCUGGCGGCGUGCUUAACACAUGCAAGUCGAACGGAAAGGCCCUGCGUUUGUGGGGUGCUCGAGGGGCGAACGGGUGAGUAACACGUGAGUAACCUGCCCUUGACUUUGGGAUAACUUCAGGAAACUGGGGCUAAUACCGGAUAGGAGCUCCUGCUGCAUGGUGGGGGUUGGAAAGUUUAGGCGGUUGGGGAUGGAUUCGCGGCUUAUCAGCUUGUUGGUGGGGUAGUUGCUUACCAAGGCUUUGACGGGUAGCCGGCCUGAGAGGGUGACCGGGGUCCAUGGGCCUGAGAUACGGCGCAGACUCGAACAGGAGGCAGCAGUGGGGAAUAUUGCCCAGUCGGAGGGAGCCUGAUGCAGCAGCGCUGCGUGUGGGAUGACGGCCUUCGGGUUGUAAAAAGCUUUAGCUUGUGACGCAGCGUGAGUGACGGUAAUGAGUAAAGAAGCACCGGCUAACUACGUG